GACGACCGCUGGCGGCGUGCUUAACACAUGCAAGUCGAACGAUGAAGCUAGAGCUUGCUCUGGUGGAUUAGUGGCGAACGGGUGAGUAACACGUGAGUAACCUGCCCUUGACUCUGGGAUAACUGCGGGAAACUGUAGCUAAUACCGGAUACGACUCUCGGAGGCAUCUCCUGGGGGUGGAAAGAAUUUCGGUCAGGGAUGGACUCGCGGCCUAUCAGCUAGUUGGUGAGGUAAAGGCUCACCAAGACGACGACGAGUAGCCGGCCUGAGAGGGUGACCGGCCGCACUGGUACUGAGACACGGCCCAGACUCCUACGGGAGGCAGCAGUGUGGAAUAUUGCACAAUGGGCGCAAGCCUGAUGCAGCAACGCCGCGUGAGGGAUGACGGCCUUCGGGUUGUAAACCUCUUUUAGCAGGGAAGAAGCGAAAGUGACGGUACCUGCAGAAAAAGCACCGGCUAACUACGUGCCAGCCGCCGCGGUAA
rnacentral:rRNA from 1 species